UACGUAGGGUGCAAGCGUUGUCCGGAAUUAUUGGGCGUAAAGAGCUCGUAGGCGGUUUGUCGCGUCUGCUGUGAAAUCUGGAGGCUCAACCUCCAGCCUGCAGUGGGUACGGGCAGACUAGAGUGCGGUAGGGGAGAGUGGAAUUCCCGGUGUAGCGGUGAAAUGCGCAGAUAUCGGGAAGAACACCCGUGGCGAAGGCGGCUCUCUGGGACGGUACUGACGCUGAGACGCGAAAGCGUGGGGAGCGAACAGG
rnacentral:rRNA from 1 species